rnacentral:misc_RNA from 1 species
GAAAUGCGAUAAUUAAUGUGAAUUGCAGAAUUCAGUGAAUCAUCGAGUCUUUGAACGCACAUUGCGCCCCCUGGUAUUCCGGGGGGCAUGCCUGUCAGAGCGUCAUUGCUGCCCUCAAGCACGGCUUGUGUGUUGGGCUUCCGUCCCUGGCAACGGGGACGGGCCCAAAAGGCAGUGGCGGCACCAUGUCUGGUCCUCGAGCGUAUGGGGCUUUGUCACCCGCUCCCGUAGGUCCAGCUGGCAGCUAGCCUCGCAACCAAUCUUUUUAACCAGGUUGACCUCGGAUCAGGUAGGGAUACCCGCUGAACUUAAGC